GAUGAACGCUGGCGGCGUGCCUAAUACAUGCAAGUCGAGCGAACGGAUGAGGAGCUUGCUCCUCUGACGUUAGCGGCGGACGGGUGAGUAACACGUGGAUAACCUACCUAUAAGACUGGGAUAACUUCGGGAAACCGGAGCUAAUACCGGAUAAUAUAUUGAACCGCAUGGUUCAAUAGUGAAAGUCGGUUUUGCUGUCACUUAUAGAUGGAUCCGCGCCGCAUUAGCUAGUUGGUAAGGUAACGGCUUACCAAGGCAACGAUGCGUAGCCGACCUGAGAGGGUGAUCGGCCACACUGGAACUGAGACACGGUCCAGACUCCUACGGGAGGCAGCAGUAGGGAAUCUUCCGCAAUGGGCGAAAGCCUGACGGAGCAACGCCGCGUGAGUGAUGAAGGUCUUCGGAUCGUAAAACUCUGUUAUUAGGGAAGAACAAAUGUGUAAGUAACUAUGCACGUCUUGACGGUACCUAAUCAGAAAGCCACGGCUAACUACGUG
rnacentral:rRNA from 1 species